rfam:Myotis davidii contig40071, whole genome shotgun sequence.
UGCAGUUCUCAGGUGAUGCACCCAGAACCAGAGAGGAGGGAGCCUGAUUCUGGGGUGCAUCACCCAAGAACUGCC